rnacentral:rRNA from 1 species
GCCUCUCGAAUUGUAGUCUAGAAAGGCGCCAUCGGCCGCAGCCGCCGCUCAAAUCCCUUGGAACAGGGUAUCGGAGAAGGUGAGAAUCCUGUGCCGUGGCGGAUUGCGGCCGCACGAUGCGCUCUUGUCGAGUCGGGUUGCUUGGGAUUGCAGCUUGAAGUGGGUGGUAAAUUCCAUCUAAAGCUAAAUACGGGCGAGAGACCGAUAGCGAACAAGUACCGUGAGGGAAAGAUGCAAAGAACUUUGAAAAGAGAGUCAAAGAGUGCUUGAAAUUGGCAAGAGGAAACCCGGUUGCGCCCAGUGUCGGCGGUUCGAUUCAGCCGCGCGUCCUCGCGUGGUGCACUUUGGAUCGCCGGGUCAGCCGCCGCACGUGACGUGUCAGAACGCGUUCGGUCUGUUCUCGGACGACCGUUCGAUUCGUCGCGUUUCGUGCGCCGGCUGACGGAAUGGGCGCCACCGACCCGUCUAGAAACACGGACCAAGGAGUCUGACACGUGUGCGAGUACCCGGGUGGCAAGCCCGCGUGCGCAAUGAAAGUGAAGGGCGUGCCCCACCAACCGACCUUGACCUUCUGCGAAGGGUUUGAGUGGAGCACAUCUGUCGGGACCCGAAAGAUGGUGAACUAUGCCUGUAUAGGUUGAAGUCUGCUGAAAGGCAGAUGGAGGGCCGUAGCGAUACUGACGUGCAAAUCGUUCGUCAAAUAUGGGUAUAGGGGCGAAAGACUAAUCGAACCAUCUAGUAGCUGGUUCCCUCCGAAGUUUCCCUCAGGAUAGCUUGAACGCCGACGGUUUUGU